rnacentral:ncRNA from 2 species
CGCUGUUCCAAGGGGUGCCUCGCGAGGAGGCUGAGAUUCCGCCGGUCGGGCUUUUGUCCGACAGCGCGGUGACCCUCCGAACCUGAUCCGGGUCAUGCCGGCGUAGGGAUGCGGGACAUCGGGCGG